rnacentral:rRNA from 1 species
GACAGAGGCCUCAAGCGUUAGGCGGAAUCACUGGGCUUAAAGCGUGUGUAGGCGGAUCGUUAAGUGUCUUGUGAAAUCCCACGGCUCACCCGUGGAACUGCUGGGCAUACUGGCGAUCUUGGGCCAACUAGGGGCAACUGGAACAAGCGGUGGAGCGGUGAAAUGCGUAGAUAUCGCUUGGAACGCCAAUGGUGAAAACAGCUCGCUGGGGAUGUG